UUACAGUCCUGUGAAUGAAACAUUGUGACCUCAAGUUUACAGAUGAAGACAAUAAACUUCAGAGAGUUCAAGUAUAUCACUCAAGCAGGAUUAUUUGUGCCCAUGAGGGAAACACGAAGGAUUGUCAGUAUUCAUUUGCUAUCAGAACUGCCUUUGAACUUCAGGGAAGCCGCCAUCUUGUUUUUGUUCACUCCUCUAAAGCACAGUGUCUGCAACAAGAAACACUAAUAAGACACAGUUAUCCAGAAAAAGCCCUAGAGAUGGAUAAGGAACCUGUUGGAAUGCUCCGAUAUUAAGAAAAAAAAAUUAAAUUCAAAACCAAAAACAAGUCACAAGGGAGUUUUAUGCCUAUGUAAUCAGUGCAGACAGCCGUUAAGUAAAUGAAGAGGCAACUAACAAUGUCAGAAAAGAGACCGGGCGGUUCCGGCUGACACUACCCUAAUCUUCCAGGACCCAUUAAAUGGCAGUUUCAACGCAUUACCUACCAUAACAUCCUUGAAUAUCACUGAUUUUAUUUGCAGUAUCAAACAUUCCAUUUCAUGCCCCAUUAACAGUGGGAGCCUGGGCUUUUUGACGCAGCUAAACAUUUUACUAACUACCUGGACUAAGUAACCAAUUAACUUUUGGAGACAAUACGGCCAAUUAAGCGCGAAAAGAAAAUUUGGAAAACAGCCUUUUCCUAUCCGGAUGAACAGAGAUAAUUUGUGUCAAUGGAUGUUCUGUGAAGGCCUAUUGUGUCGAGCAGUGUAUUAAAACAUAAAUAUGGCUCUUCCCCCAAGAAACUUACAUUUCAGUAAGGGAGCCUGGCCAAAAUGGAAAAUUGCAAGGUUCAAAUCCUGGAGUGCAGAAGAAGCAUUAGGC
rnacentral:lncRNA from 1 species